CAUUGAUUAAUAUUUUUCUAUUUUAUUUCCACCGCAAUUUGAUAAAUUUAAGAAAAUCUAAAGUAAGAUGCUUAUGUCCAAUAUAUAAAGCUUCUGAGGAAAACAGCGAACCUUGAGAAGCUAAGAGAAGCAAGGGAAGCUAUGAGUGCUAUGUUUCCGUUGAGUCCUUCUUUGUGGCUUGAAUGGGCUAGGGAUGAGGCAUCUUUAGCCUCUAGUGAUAAUGUGCCUGAAAUUGUUAAGCUUUACGAACGAGGACUUUCUGAUUAUCAGUCUGUAUCUCUUUGGUGUGAAUACCUGAACUUCUUG